rnacentral:rRNA from 1 species
UAGGGAAUCUUCGGCAAUGGGGGGAACCCUGACCGAGCAACGCCGCGUGAGUGAAGAAGGUUUUCGCAUCGUAAAGCUCUGUUGUUAAGGAAGAACGAGUGUGAGAAUGGAAAGUUCAUACUGUGACGGUACUUAACCAGAAAGGGACGGCUAACUACGUGCCAGCAGCCGCGGUAAUACGUAGGUCCCGAGCGUUGUCCGGAUUUAUUGGGCGUAAAGCGAGCGCAGGCGGUUAGAUAAGUCUGAAGUUAAAGGCAGUGGCUCAACCAUUGUAGGCUUUGGAAACUGUUUAACUUGAGUGCAGAAGGGGAGAGUGGAAUUCCAUGUGUAGCGGUGAAAUGCGUAGAUAUAUGGAGGAACACCGGUGGCGAAAGCGGCUCUCUGGUCUGUAACUGACGCUGAGGCUCGAAAGCGUGGGGAGCGAACAGG